AAUAAGUCCUGAUUCUCAGGCCUCCCUUGAAACCUUAUAACAGCUGAGGAAAUAUAGUCUGCUAUUAAAGCAACUCAAAGUGCUUGGACUCAAGCGAUUAUAAUUAUAAUUCUGAAGAAGGGUAAGGACACCUUAGAAUGUAGUUCGUAUAGACCAAUUAGUUUACUCAGGUGCGACUACAAAAUCUUAACUAAAGUUCUUGUGUGGUGAGACGCCUCCUCAUCCUGUUUUAUUUUGGCUGGACUUCCUGUUUUUCCCUGUUUGCCUGGUCUGGCUUUACUCUUUUCCAGAGCUUCCUCCUCUCCCCCGGCGCUGAGGCUGAGUGAGUCAACACACCUGCUCCACAUCUCCAAUCAAGGGACUUUAAGAAGCCUGCAGCCCUCAGUCUCAGCGCCUGAGUAUUGUCUACCCUUCCUAGCGGUAAAGACGCGUCUCCUGGCCAACUUCGUUUGUAUAAUCAUCAGAACUUUGCUCCUUGUGAUUCUGUGCAUGUACAAUAACUUCCAUCUCCUCUGGUUUUUCCUGCAGUAUCUCCAGCCCACACAACAGCCAGCCAACCAGCCUACCGGACAUCCUCUGUUGCAUUAUCUACAUUAUCUAUUUUGUUUGGACAUUAAAUUCUCUUUAAGUUGAUCUCAGUCUCAGUGUCUGCUUCUGGGUCCUCACAACGAACCUGCCACAAUACAUCUUGCGUGUCGUUUAGAGACAGUUGUGCCUUCAAUAAUUGAUGAGAGCCAAACAGGUUUUAUCCCUGGGCGUCACACCUUUUUUAAUAAGUGGAGAUUAUUUAAUGUCCUCU